rnacentral:rRNA from 1 species
AGUGAACGCUGGCGGCAGGCCUAACACAUGCAAGUCGAGCGGAAGCAGGGUGCUUGCUCGUGGAUUCGGCUGGCGACGGGCGAGUGGGGGCUGGGAACCUGCGUGUCUAUUUGUUAGUGCGUGCGGACGCGGGGGCACAUACCGCAAUCGCCCUGAGGGAGUACGGGUGGGAUCUUGGGAUCUCACGCUCUCACGUGAUCCGAGGUCGGAUUAGCUAGUUGGUGGGGUAAAGGCCUACCAAGGCGACGAUCCGUAGCUGGUCUGAGAGGAUGAUCAGUCACACUGGAACUGAGACACGGUCCAGACUCCUACGGGAGGCAGCAGUGGGGAAUAUUGGACAAUGGGCGAAAGCCUGAUCCAGCCAUACCGCGUGGGUGAAGAAGGCCUUCGGGUUGUAAAGCCCUUUUGUUGGGAAAGAAAAGCAGUAGGUUAAUACCUCGCUGUUCUGACGGUACCCAAAGAAUAAGCACCGGCUAACUUCGUG